rnacentral:rRNA from 1 species
AGCUUGCUUCUUUGCUGACGAGUGGCGGACGGGUGAGUAAUGUCUGGGAAACUGCCUGAUGGAGGGGGAUAACUACUGGAAACGGUAGCUAAUACCGCAUAACGUCGCAAGACCAAAGAGGGGGACCUUCGGGCCUCUUGCCAUCGGAUGUGCCCAGAUGGGAUUAGCUAGUAGGUGGGGUAACGGCUCACCUAGGCGACGAUCCCUAGCUGGUCUGAGAGGAUGACCAGCCACACUGGAACUGAGACACGGUCCAGACUCCUACGGGAGGCAGCAGUGGGGAAUAUUGCACAAUGGGCGCAAGCCUGAUGCAGCCAUGCCGCGUGUAUGAAGAAGGCCUUCGAGUUGUAAAGUACUUUCAGCGGGGAGGAAGGGAGUAAAGUUAAUACCUUUGCUCAUUGACGUUACCCGCAGAAGAAGCACCGGCUAACUCCGUGCCAGCAGCCGCGGUAAUACGGAGGGUGCAAGCGUUAAUCGGAAUUACUGGGCGUAAAGCGCACGCAGGCGGUUUGUUAAGUCAGAUGUGAAAUCCCCGGGCUCAACAUGGGAACUGCAUCUGAUACUGGCAAGCUUGAGUCUCGUAGAGGGGGGUAGAAUUCCAGGUGUAGCGGUGAAAUGCGUAGAGAUCUGGAGGAAUACCGGUGGCGA